rnacentral:lncRNA from 1 species
CAGAGGCACACAUAAACAGAGAGACCCAUGCACUUCACUUCUCUCUAUAAAAUCUCUUUCUUUCUAAUUGGGUUUGUUGAGCUGAGGCAUGGUUGCUGGCCAAAUCUGGAAUAGCUAUUUCAUGGUUGUCUACCAUUUGAAGGAAAUCUUCUUCUUUGGGCAGAGCCCUUCCCGUCCACCAGCUGUACCAGUCUCUAGCUCAACACACGGUGCUUUGUUUAAGGAGGUUAGUCGGUAAAACCCAUUUGAUCAGUGACAGUGGAAGAGGCUUCAAAUUAGAGGUGUGUGCUUGAUGGAUUUCGUUUUCAGAAAUAAAUUCUCUGCUCUUGUUUUUGUGAAAAAACUUGGUUUUUAUGCUUUGACUGAUCUGUUUAUGUCACCAAUGUUAGCUGUAAGUUUGGUUUGUGUCACCAAUUUAAUGGGCUUUGCAUCAUCUCUCACAAACUACACUCUGUUUUUCUCAGACCAGUGGUGAUAUAUUGCUUUGGUGGGAGAACAGAGAAGUCAGAAAAAUUAAUUGACAAUUGAGUAGAAAAAUUAAUUAACAAUUGAGUAAAAAAAUUAAGAAUAACAACGCUGGAAAUACCUCAGCAAAUCUGUAAGAUUUAAUCCCCUUCCUGAUAGAACCCAAGGGAGCUGGAAAGUGAGCACUUUGGAAGAGCAGAGGAAGAUGAGAAGAAUGGAAACGAAGAAGGCAAGCAAUUUGGUGGGAAAAAAGGUGGUUCUGUAAAACAGUGGAACCCUCCAGAUUUAAACAGUGAAGAACCAACAGCUCUCCCAUUUUACCCCUGUAGCUCUCCAACCAGCUAGUUGAAAUCCAACCAGACACCUCUCAACCCUAAACAACAGCUAGUUACAUCCCAAGGAAAGAGAGGGCAAAACGGGAAAAAUACAGAACAAUCAGUCAAGGGCAAAAUGGCAAUUUUACUGUUCAAAAGGAAAGGAAAAGCUGGCUGUACAGUUUUAAAUAGAGGCAUUUUCGUAAUUUU